rnacentral:rRNA from 1 species
UGCGCAGGCGGUUAUGCAAGACAGAGGUGAAAUCCCCGGGCUCAACCUGGGAACUGCCUUUGUGACUGCAUGGCUAGAGUACGGUAGAGGGGGAUGGAAUUCCGCGUGUAGCAGUGAAAUGCGUAGAUAUGCGGAGGAACACCGAUGGCGAAGGCAAUCCCCUGGACCUGUACUGACGCUCAUGCACGAAAGCGUGGGGAGCAAACA